AGGCAAGAGGUACUUGAGGGGUAGGGGUAAAAUCCUGUAAUCCUUUAAGGACCACCGGUGGCGAAGGCGUCUUGCUAGAACGGAUCCGACGGUGAGGGACGAAGCCCUGGGUCGCAAACGGGAUUAGAUACCCCGGUAGUCCAGGGUGUAAACGCUGCGGGCUUGGUGUUGGGGGUCCUUUGAGGGCGCCCAGUGCCGGAGAGAAGUUGUUAAGCCUGCUGCUUGGGGAGUACGUCCGCAAGGAUGAAACUUAAAGGAAUUGGCGGGGGAGCACCGCAACGGGAGGAGCGUGCGGUUUAAUUGGAUUCAACACCGGAAAACUCACCAGGAGCGACGGUUACAUGAAAGUCAGGCUGAUGACCUUACUCGAUUUUCCGAGAGGUGGUGCAUGGCCGUCGUCAGUUCGUACCGUAAGGCGUUCUCUUAAGUGAGAUAACGAACAAGACCCUCACCAAUAGUUGCUACCGUAUCCCCCGGGGUACGAGCACACUAUCGGGACCGCUGGCGCUAAGUCAGAGGAAGGAGAGGUCAACGGUAGGUCAGUAUGCCCCGAAUCUCCUGGGCUACACGCGCGCUACAAAGGGCGGGACAAUGGGCUCCGACGCCGAAAGGCGAAGGUAAUCUCGAAACCCGUCCGUAGUUCGGAUUGAGGGUUGUAACUCACCCUCAUGAAGCUGGAUUCCGUAGUAAUCGCGGAUCAACAAUCCGCGGUGAAUAUGCCCCUGCUCCUUGCACACACCGCCCGUCAAACCACCCGAGUUGGGUUUCAGUAAGGAUAUCUCAUUUUGGGGUCUUCGAACUGAGAUUCAGCAAGGAGGGUUAAGUCGUAACAAGGUAUCU
rnacentral:rRNA from 1 species